rnacentral:rRNA from 1 species
UACGGGGGGGGCAAGCGUCUUGUCGGAAUUACUGGGCGUAAAGGGCUCGUAGGCGGCCAACUAAGUCGGACGUGAAAUCCCUCGGCUUAACCGGGGAACUGCGUCCGAUACUGGAUGGCUUGAAUCCGGGAGAGGGAUGCGGAAUUCCAGGUGUAGCGGUGAAAUGCGUAGAUAUCUGGAGGAACACCGGUGGCGAAGGCGGCAUCCUGGACCGGCAUUGACGCUGAGGAGCGAAAGCCAGGGGAGCAAACGGG